GGGGGACCUUCGGGCCUCUUGCCAUCGGAUGUGCCCAGAUGGGAUUAGCUAGUAGGUGGGGUAACGGCUCACCUAGGCGACGAUCCCUAGCUGGUCUGAGAGGAUGACCAGCCACACUGGAACUGAGACACGGUCCAGACUCCUACGGGAGGCAGCAGUGGGGAAUAUUGCACAAUGGGCGCAAGCCUGAUGCAGCCAUGCCGCGUGUAUGAAGAAGGCCUUCGGGUUGUAAAGUACUUUCAGCGGGGAGGAAGGGAGUAAAGUUAAUACAUUUGAUCAUUGCCGUU
rnacentral:rRNA from 1 species